rnacentral:rRNA from 1 species
ACUCAAAGGAAUUGACGGGGGCCCGCACAAGCGGUGGAGUAUGUGGUUUAAUUCGACGCAACGCGAAGAACCUUACCCAGACUUGACAUUGAUGGAAUCCCUUGGAAACAGGGGAGUACCCUUCGGGGACCUGAAAACAGGUGCUGCAUGGCUGUCGUCAGCUCGUGUCGUGAGAUGUUGGGUUAAGUCCCGCAACGAGCGCAACCCUCGCCGUUAGUUGCCAUCAGGUAAAGCUGGGCACUCUAGCGGGACUGCCGGUGUUAAACCGGAGGAAGGUGGGGAUGACGUCAAGUCCUCAUGGCCUUUAUGUCUGGGGCUACACACGUACUACAAUGGCCACUACAAUGCGUCGCGAACUCGUGAGAGGGAGCAAAUCGCAAAAAAGUGGUCUCAGUUCGGAUCGGAGUCUGCAACUCGACUUCGUGAAGUCGGAAUCGCUAGUAAUCGAGGAUCAGCAUGCCUCGGUGAAUACGUUCCCGGGCCUUGUACACACCGCCCGU